rnacentral:tRNA from 2 species
GCAGCGGUAGCCAAGGUGGUCAAGGCACCUGUCUGAAGAACAGGCCAUGCAGGUUCGACUCCUGCCUGCUGCACAA